rnacentral:lncRNA from 1 species
GUCGGAGUAUGGAUGUCGGAGUAAGGAUAUCGGAGUAAUGGUGGACAGAGAAAUGGUGGACGGAAAAAUCGUGGACGGAGAAAUGGUGGACAGAGAAACGGUGGACGGAGAAUGGUGGACGGAGAAAUGGUAGACGAAAAUGGUAGAUGGAGAAUGAUAGCAUAGAACUUUUGACAAUAAAUUGAACAAUUAUGUAAAAUUUAUCAAUUGAUUGUUUUAUACAAUAUAUAUAUUUAUGUUUUAUUUCAGGUUUUGUGUAUUGAUUCUUUAUUUUAGGUAUCUUUCGAUCCUGUAGUGUUAUAUUUGUAGCAAAGAAAUUUAUGCUAUAUUUCUAGAACAUUGGGGGGUAUGUAACACUAUGCAGUGAUCGAAAGUAUGGAAAUUAUUAAAUAUAUUUUCUAAAGUUUAUAAAUGUAUGUAUUAUUGUUAAACUACAAACGUGACUUUCUAUAUGUACAUGUUUUGGCUUAAGGGAUGUUCAAGCUUAUGACGAUUGCUUUUUCAUUCAGCAACAUGUGGUCAUCGUAUUUAAUUAGACUUUAAUAGUUUGGCUUUAAUUGACCUAACGUUAAGUAUAUGAGACCAAAAGUAAUGGUCACUUUUUAUAACCAUUUUAUUUGUGGCUAUAGGCUUUCUAAAAGUAAGUACCUGUCAAAGGUAGACAAACAACAUUCUUUCUAAAUUUAAGUCACGUUCGUAGUUGUAUAAAAGAACUGUCCCUAACAAGACAGUUCAGAUUGUAACUAGGCAC